GACGAACGCUGGCGGCGUGCUUAACACAUGCAAGUCGAACGAUGAAGCCGGAGCUUGCUCUGGUGAAUUAGUGGCGAACGGGUGAGUAACACGUGAGUAACCUGCCCUUGACUCUGGGAUAACUGCGGGAAACUGUAGCUAAUACCGGAUACGACCCUCGGAGGCAUCUCCUGGGGGUGGAAAGAAUUUCGGUCAAGGAUGGACUCGCGGCCUAUCAGCUGGUUGGUGAGGUAAAGGCUCACCAAGGCGACGACGGGUAGCCGGCCGGAGAGGGUGACCGGCCACACUGGGACUGAGACACGGCCCAGACUCCUACGGGAGGCAGCAGUGGGGAAUAUUGCACAAUGGGCGCAAGCCUGAUGCAGCAACGCCGCGUGAGGGAUGACGGCCUUCGGGUUGUAAACCUCUUUUAGCAGGGAAGAAGCGAAAGUGACGGUACCUGCAGAAAAAGCACCGGCUAACUACGUGCCAGCCGCCGCGGUAA
rnacentral:rRNA from 1 species